UUAAUUCCAUCCCAUUAAGAAUAAUCAUUUUGCUGCCUAGGCAGUUACCUACUUUUGAUCAUAGAUUGAAGAGAUUCCUAAACCCCGCCUACCAAUCGAUGAUUGUUGGUGCACUGCAGUAUUAUUCAUCUAUGAGACUGAUUUGCAAAAAUAAGAGACUCACAUGAAUCAAUCAAUUUCUCUCCAGAUAGUCGUUUUUAAGAUUUAUUAUGUCUCAUCUGUCAAUUGUUAACAGUGCUUAUGAAAAUGAGAGGCAUCGAAGUUCUAG